GCCGCAAUAGCUCAGUCGGUAGAGCAUUUCAUUCGUAACGAAAAGGUCGCCAGUUCGAACCUGGCUUGCGGCUCCA
rnacentral:tRNA from 1 species